GGUUCCGUAGUGUAGCGGUUAGCACAUCUGCUUUACACGCAGAAGAUCCUGGGUUCGUGCCCCAGUGGAGCCA
rnacentral:tRNA from 1 species